rnacentral:rRNA from 1 species
UACGUGGGGGGCAAGCGUUGUUCGGAAUUACUGGGCGUAAAGGGCUCGUAGGUGGCCAACUAAGUCAUACGUGAAAUCCCUCGGCUUAACCGGGGAACUGCGUCUGAUACUGGAUGGCUUGAGGUUGGGAGAGGGAUGCGGAAUUCCAGGUGUAGCGGUGAAAUGCGUAGAUAUCUGGAGGAACACCGGUGGCGAAGGCGGCAUCCUGGACCAAUUCUGACACUGAGGAGCGAAAGCCAGGGGAGCAAACGGG